CAUUGAUUAUAUCAUCAAACACCUGCUCAGCUGGUCACAUGACCACACAGCGAUGAAGCAGAAACAAACCCCGAGCAGCUCCUCCACAGCAGGAGAGGAGCACAGACACGCCUCCCUGCUGGCUCCGCUCAUCCUGCGCAGAGCAGCUGGUGGGGAGCACGUUACAAACCCUCUGAGGAUCGAGUGGGGGGGCACAGCUUCCACAGGUCCCUGCAGCCUCAGUGAUACCAACCUGACAACAGCACAUCUGCAAACCGGCACUUCCACAGGACUCGAGUGCUGUGUUCCUAAUCAAGUGUCACUCUUCAGAUAAACGCUGAAAGUGCGUGGUUGAUGGUGCGCGCUGUUUUGAACACCAUCACACACCUGUGAACGUUCCACUCUCUCAGCACAUCCUCAGACUGUUGCAUGGUUCUGACUUGUCUGUGAGAGGAACAUACAGCACAUCAUGUCAGCUAUCAGAAAUCAAACCCAUCCAAUAGUUCAGCAAUAUUUGGUGUCUGUGUUCAGAGGGGGACAAUGAUGGCCUCCAUGCAUCGACAUGAUGCUGCAGGGAUCUUCUCACAGAUUGUAGAACCAGGCUGUGCUGUGAGAAGAAGCUACUCGGAGCGAGGCCGUCUCUCCCUGGUCCACAUAGACACCAAUCACAAGCUAAUACGGUGAAAUACUCAGUUACAGAGCUCUAACACAUGCUGGGCAGACAGAUGCACGUUAUACUAUAAAACUGCUCAACUCAACUUUAUCUGAUGUGUCCUUAAAGUGUAUAUGAUUUUUAAACUUGUUAGAGCACGAUUACAGGAUGUUUAACAAAAUCAGUAACAUGGUUAAUUGUAAAAAGUCUCGAGCAAUCAUUCGAUAUUUUCCAUCAUAACAGGUCCUCUAAAAACACACGUUCAGUUUCAGGCCUCAAACACAUGCAGUGUUGUGACGUUGGUGGAGUGGAGGGCUGCUCUGAGAAGUCUGUCAGUCAUUUGUAAAAUGAUGCCACCAUAGCUGAACUCGCUCCACUGCAGCUCUCCAUGCAGAGCUGCCAAACUGCGGUGGCCACAUGGAGUAGUGCAGGAAGACCCAGAGGCGCUCGGUGCAUCAGCAGGAUCCACAUCCUUCCUCUGCCUCUUACAGGAAGCAGCAGAGUCCUCCAUCAUCACCAGGAGUCACAGGAUCCAGGAUCCAAAGCAGCUGCUGUGAGGUCACUGGAUCUGAGGGGGCAGAGAUCCAUUCGGACACGGAUAAAGAUUCCAAGAAUCUUGUGUUCAAAGAUGCUUGGAGACUCCUGACCAGGCCAUUCAGGAAACAGACGGUGGCUUCAGCUUCUCCAUGUGGUGACUGAAGGACAUCACGGAUCAAAACUAUUUUCUCAAAUCUGUUGCUUCGCUGAAAGGCUUCCAGAUGUCCGGCAUCUCCCUCAGCAGCAUCGGCUCUGUGCUGUGAACAAUAGCUCCUGCUGAUCAGAUGUUCACACUGGAGAACUGCCUCCACUUGUCUCGGGGCUGAAGUCCACCUGCGAUCACAGCAGCAGCUUCAAACACGUCUUUGAAUGUUGUGCUUGUGUGCAGCUUAGAUAACUUCCAAAGAGAAGGAGAUGGUCUCUGACAGCCAUCUCUGUGUUUGCCAUAGCAGCCGCUACUGCGUCGGAUCAUCCGAGGUGAAGACGUGCCAGAGCUCUGAUCACCAUCAUCAUCAUCAUGUUCCUCACCUGCUCAGUGGGGAAGCUCUCCACACGCUGGCAGCAUUGUCACAAAUCGUUUGUCUGUAUUCGUCACAUGUAGCUCCAGAUUUCUCACAGAUUCAGUCACCUGUGUGUGAUGCACAGUGAUGCCGAGGAAACCCCUCAUGACCAGUGUCCACAGCGACUGAAACACGACGUCUCACUCGGCUGAGUUUUUAACAGGUUCUCUGUGUUUGCUGUCAGCUACUGUCAGAAAGUGCUGAAAACUCUUGUUCUGCACAAUAGACACGAAAAAUAACAGCUUUGUGCUGAGUGUCCAUAAGCUGUGAUAUGGAAGCUGCUGAGGUUCAUCUGUGAUCCUCUUCAAACUGUCAGUAAAUCCAUCACAGCCUUCGUGCAUUAGACUUUAAGUUGUUUCUAAAUGGACUCAUUCUACAUUAUAGGCAUGCAGACUGUUGGAGCCAGGAAUCGAACCACCAACCGUCCGAUCAGCAGAUGACCUGCUCUACCGCCUGAGCUACAGCCAGGAGGUAGAGCCAAGUCCCAAAUAAAUAUGAACACUUAUUAAACACUGUUCUCAAAGCUGUGCAUGCAGCUCUAACCAGCAAUGAUCAGCAGCCCUGUUAACAACAACUGACUUUGGUAAAUAAACGACAGCUAAUGAAAUAAUAACAGUUGUUGUGAUUGACAGGAGAAAGAGCCCGUUAAGCUCGCUCCAUCUCUGAGUCUGUGUCGUGCAUAUUGCACUUGGUUUUUUGUUGACUACUUCAUAGUUUAUGUACCUGAAAGAAAUUUUUGU